rnacentral:lncRNA from 1 species
GUAAGUUAGUUGUCAAUACUACCGGAGCAAUUAUAUUUCUCCAAUCAUUUUUUGGGGAUACCCUGCAUUACAACUAUAUAUUUAUGUUUGCUCCACCAUGUUUGAUCCGUGUGAACUGGAGAAUUUAUCCGUUUAACAAUUUUACUGGUAUUCCAGGAGUUUUUAAGAGUCUAUUUGCACAUUCUGAUGCAAGACUCCCAUCCCUUUUGCAACACUAAUGCAUGUGAUUGUUGGAAGGGAAAUUGAGGUUUCAAAGAACCCUGAGUCUCAGCUAUAUAUGCA